GUGAGGAAUAUUGGUCAAUGGGCGAGAGCCUGAACCAGCCAAGUCGCGUGAAGGAAGAAGGAUCUAUGGUUCGUAAACUUCUUUUGCAGGGGAAUAAAGUGCGGGACGUGUCCUGUUUUGUAUGUACCCUGAGAAUAAGGAUCGGCUAACUCCGUGCCAGCAGCCGCGGUAAUACGGAGGAUCCGAGCGUUAUCCGGAUUUAUUGGGUUUAAAGGGUGCGUAGGUGGUUUGAUAAGUCAGCGGUGAAAGUUUGCAGCUUAACUGUAAAAAUGCCGUUGAAACUGUCGGACUUGAGUGUAAAUGAGGUAGGCGGAAUGCGUGGUGUGGCGGUGAAAUGCAUAGAUAUCACGCAGAACUCCGAUUGCGAAGGCAGCUUACUAAGCUACAACUUACACUGAAGCACGAAUGCGUGGGGAUCAAACAGGAUUAGAUACCCGUGUAGUCC
rnacentral:rRNA from 1 species